rnacentral:rRNA from 1 species
UACGGAGGGUGCAAGCGUUAAUCGGAAUUACUGGGCGUAAAGCGUGCGUAGGCGGUUCGUUAAGUCUGUUGUGAAAUCUCCUGGCUCAACUGGGAGGGUGCGCCGGAAACUGGAGUGCUUGAGCGUGGGAGAGGAAAGCGGAAUUCCUGGUGUAGCGGUGAAAUGCGUAGAUAUCAGGAGGAACACCUGUGGUGUAGACGGCUUUCUGGACCAUAGCUGACGCUGAGACACGAAAGCGUGGGUAGCAAACAGG